rnacentral:rRNA from 1 species
UACGUAGGGUGCAAGCGUUAUUCGGAUUUACUGGGCGUAAAGGGUCCGCAGGGGGUUUGCCAAGUCUGAUGUGAAAUCCCACAGCUCAACUGUGGAACGGUAUUGGAUACUGGUGAACUUUGAGUGCACGAGGGGUGAGCGGAAUUCCUGGUGUAGCGGUGGAAUGCGCAGAUAUCAGGAGGAACAUCGAUGGCGAAGGCGGCUCACUGGCGUGUCACUGACCCUCAGGGACGAAAGCGUGGGUAGCAAACAGG